UUACGGCCACAUCACGUUGAAACACCGGAUCUUGUACGAUCAUCGAAGUUAAACAACGUCGAACCUGGUCAGUACUUAGAUGGGUGACUGCUUGGAAAUACCAGGUACUGUAGU